UAUGCUGCUGGUCUGAAUCUACUUACAUGCUUGACUGAAUUUAACUUGGUGCUAAAACAAGCACUCGGUUGGGGCCUCCUGGGCGAUGCCUACGACCGCUGCGGCGAGGUCUGUGCCUAGUACGCCACCUUCUACUUUGAAGAUAGAAUCUGGACGCCCUUCCCUGGUCGAUGACACCCUUCCCUGGUCGACGACACCCUUCCGUCGUGGGCUCUCAGUAGGACGGCGACCCACAAGAUCCACACCCUUGUGGCCCUGUGACCCUCAAGCUCGACGGCUAGAUCCCCUACGGCCAAGCCCUUCUGCUCGAGAGUCAAGUCCCAGUCCGACUUCUCUGCUUCCCAGCUGCUCCUUCAGUCCGGCUUCAGCAGCUCACUUCUCACCACGACCAGGAAAUGAAAGAUCGCUCGACAAACGGCCGCUUCCAGUCAGUUGGAUCUGAUCUUAUACCCGCACACGAGAGCUACCGGAGCAGCAGCAGAUUAACAAGGACCCAAGCUGGACUCCCAAGUUCUUCGGUGAGCUGGCUCCAUCUCCUACCCCUAGCUCCCUCUUUUCUGCUCCUAUAGCAUGCUUUGUUGGACUCAUGCUCUGCUCCUACACAAGCUGGACUCAUGCUUUGUUAUACACUAGCAGCAGUACCUCAUGUACAUGUAAUUGGACUCCCAGGGUG